ensembl:lncRNA
CUCUGACAGACUAACCUGAUGUUGUGAUAGAAAUAGUGUCUUAUUCUUCUGUCUGCCCGACAGCGCUGUGAAACGCUCAUUCAUUUCCGCUUUCGUCCUCCUACACACUCCCUCGCUUAUCAUCUCUGCUGCUAAAUCUACCUGACAGGCCCCUCACAGGUACACCGCGGCUGCCGUGAUCGGCUCCCCCGUUGGGGGGAGGGGGAUUGUAUGUCUCGUGAGUACCCCCCGACCUGCAAAGGGCAUUGGGGGUAUGUGAUGAGAGGAGCGGGGCCGAUAUCCAUGGGAACGGAGCGAGGUCGGUGGAGUUGAUGUUAAUACGCGACACCUGCGCCACUCACCGGUCUCGACCAGGCCUGGAUUUUAUUUUGUGUUUUGGUUCUGUUUGUGCUCGACAGUCGUCCGUGAGGGGCUGUC